rnacentral:rRNA from 1 species
AUAGCGUAUAUUAAAGUUGUUGCAGUUAAAAAGCUCGUAGUUGAAUUUCUGGCCAGCGCUGUUCUUGGCUCUCUGAGUCGGCUCAGUGUUUGGUCAUCCGUAUGGGAAGCUAGCUCGGCCUUCACUGGUCGGCUAGUGGAUCAUACACUUUACUUUGAAAAAAUUAGAGUGUUUCAGGCAGGCAAUUGCUUGGAUACUUCAGCAUGGAAUAAUGGAAUAGGACUUUGACCUAUUUGUUGGUUUCUGAGAUCGCCGUAAUGAUUAAUAGGGAUAGUUGGGGGCAUUUGUAUUCCGACGUCAGAGGUGAAAUUCUUGGAUUGCCGGAAGACUAACUUCUG